rnacentral:rRNA from 1 species
CCGGGAAACGGGUGCUAAUACCGCAUAGUUUUCUUGAUCGCAUGAGUCGGGAAAGGAAAGACCGGCCUUUUGUGCUGUCGCUUAUGGAUGGACCCGCGGCGUAUUAGUUAGUUGGUGAGGUAACGGCUCACCAAGACGAUGAUACGUAGCCGACCUGAGAGGGUGAUCGGCCACAUUGGGACUGAGACACCGGACCCAAACUCCUACGGGAGGCAGCAGGUAGGGAAUCUUCCGCAAUGGACGAAGUCUGACGGAGCAACGCCGCGUGAGUGAAGAAGGUUUUCGGGAAUCGUAAAACUCUGUUGUCAGAGAAGAACAAGUUGGAGAGUAACUGCUCCAGCCUUGACGGUAUCUGACCAGAAAGCCACGGCUAGCUACGUGCCAGCAGCAGC